UAGAAUGUUUAUAUUUAUUGAUGUAUCAUACAUUACUGGUAUCUCCCAAAUAUUUGGUUUAUAUCUGUACGGUAUUGAAUCCUCAAAUCAAAUACCCAUCAUGCCGCUUAACAACAAAGUACCGUAUACGUAUAUGUAUUGUCCAAAAGGCUGUUUUUUAAGCUGGUUCUGGAUAAGGCUGUUUGGACGUUGUAUAUGCGGAGAUGAGCCGCCGUGCAAAGGGAAACGUACUGGAAGGACAAACAAUUGCAAUUAAUCGAGAGAUUGGCGAUGGACGGUCUCGGGAUUCACAGGAAGUUUAUUGAACGGUUUUGGAAGGGAUGUUCGAAAUUUUUCUCACAAAAGCCAUCCAUAAGAAAUGUGGAGAUGAAGUUAAUCAUUUUUGCUACCUGAUGUAAAAUUCAAUGUCUUGACUUUGACAAUGAACAAGUUUAAGUCAAUCAGAAACUUGCAACUGUGCGGAAAACAUCAUUCACACGGACAGAACACAUGGAAUUAAUUUUACUCGUGUGUAAUUAUUGGUAACAUUCGGAAUCUUGAAGUUGUAACAGCUAUCUUUUGAUUUGUAUUUUUAAUUCUGAAACGUAAAAACUUUGAAAUUAUUGAGCAAUUAGCCAUGCAUAACGAACUAAAAUAUGAUAGUUCUUCAAACUCAAAAAGGGAAACAAAUUGUUGGUGUACAUGUACUUCUUUAUAAAUCAAAGACACGAUGUAAUACAAAACAAAUCUAUUUUUAUAACAAUAAACUUUCUCAAAGGACGGAAAUGAC